CGCUUAAGUUCUCGGGUUCCGCGGCAGACCUGGUUGGAGAUAGUUUCCUUUCCUUGAGUUGAUCUGUUGAGCGUGGAUUCAAUCGAGAGGCAUAACCGAGUAUCAGGUAGAGGUACAGCGAGGGGCAGACCGACGAGAGGCAGGAAGGAUGCGUGAAGGCCAUAUGGACGCGUCUGGUUUUCUUAAUCGCUUCCGCUAUGUAUUUUGUCAGCAUAUUUUGACUUGUGAUUUUGAACUGGUGCCUUGAUAUUUUUAUUUUGUGACUUUCUUGAUUUAUUUAAAAUAGGGCCCGAAACUGUCUUUUGUAAGGUUUCUAAUGUUUCAAUGAAUCGUAACUGGUCUGUUUUAAAUUUUAUGUUGAAUGGUCGAGUUUUGGUAUUUGGUAGUGACCUCAGCUUAGUCCGGAAAGUUGGGUC